GGCCUUCAAGCUCAUGGGGAUGAGCGCCCGGCUGAAAACCGGGAGGACGAGGUUCGACUCCUCGGACGGCCGC
rnacentral:tRNA from 1 species